AUACUUACCUGGCAGGGGAGAUACCAUGAUCACGAAGGUGGUUUUCCCAGGGCGAGGCUUAUCCAUUGCACUCCGGAUGUGCUGACCCCUGCGAUUUCCCCAAAUGUGGGAAACUCGACUGCAUAAUUUGUGGUAGUGGGGGACUGC
rnacentral:snRNA from 1 species